rnacentral:rRNA from 1 species
ACUCAAAUGAAUAGACGGGGGCCCGCACAAGCGGUGGAGCAUGUGGUUUAAUUCGAUGCAACGCGAAGAACCUUACCUACCCUUGACAUCCAACGAAUCCUGCAGAGAUGCGGGAGUGCCGAAAGGAACGUUGAGACAGGUGCUGCAUGGCUGUCGUCAGCUCGUGUUGUGAGAUGUUGGGUUAAGUCCCGUAACGAGCGCAACCCUUAUCCUUAGUUGCCAACGCGUAAUGGCGGGGACUCUAAGGAGACUGCUGGUGAUGAACCGGAGGAAGGCGGGGACGACGUCAAGUCAUCAUGGCCUUUAUGGGUAGGGCUACACACGUGCUACAAUGGACAGUACAGAGGGAAGCCAACCCGCGAGGGGGAGCCAAUCCCGAAAAGCUGUUCGUAGUCCGGAUCGGAGUCUGCAACUCGACUCCGUGAAGUCGGAAUCGCUAGUAAUCGCGAAUCAGAAUGUCGCGGUGAAUACGUUCCCGGGCCUUGUACACACCGCCCGU